rnacentral:rRNA from 1 species
AGUGAACGCUGGCGGUAGGCCUAACACAUGCAAGUCGAACGGCAGCACAGUAAGAGCUUGCUCUUACGGGUGGCGAGUGGCGGACGGGUGAGGAAUACAUCGGAAUCUACUUUUUCGUGGGGGAUAACGUAGGGAAGCUUACGCUAAUACCGCAUACGACCUACGUGUGAAAGCAGGGGAUCUUCGGACCUUGCGCGAUUGAAUGAGCCGAUGUCGGAUUCGCUAGUUGGCGGGGUAAAGGCCCACCAAGGCGACGAUCCGUAGCUGGUCUGAGAGGAUGAUCACCCACAUUGGAACUGAGAAACGGUCCAGACUCCUACGGGAGGCAGCGGUGGGGAAUAUUGGACAAUGGGCGCAAGCCUGAUCCAGCCAUACCGCGGGGGUGAAGAAGGCCUUCGGGUUGUAAAGCCCUUUUGUCGGGAAAGAAAAGCAGCAGGUUAAUACCCCGCUGUUCUGACGGUACCCAAAGAAUAAGCACCGGCUAACUUCGUG